UACGUAGGGCGCAAGCGUUGUCCGGAAUUAUUGGGCGUAAAGAGCUCGUAGGCGGCUUGUCACGUCGGGUGUGAAAGACCGGGGCUUAACUCCGGUUCUGCAUUCGAUACGGGCUAGCUAGAGUGUGGUAGGGGAGAUCGGAAUUCCUGGUGUAGCGGUGAAAUGCGCAGAUAUCAGGAGGAACACCGGUGGCGAAGGCGGGUCUCUGGGCCGAAACUGACGCUGAGGAGCGAAAGCGUGGGGAGCAAACAGG
rnacentral:rRNA from 1 species